rnacentral:rRNA from 2 species
AAAUUGAAGAGUUUGAUCAUGGCUCAGAUUGAACGCUGGCGGCAGGCCUAACACAUGCAAGUCGAACGGUAACAGGAAGCAGCUUGCUGCUUUGCUGACGAGUGGCGGACGGGUGAGUAAUGUCUGGGAAACUGCCUGAUGGAGGGGGAUAACUACUGGAAACGGUGGCUAAUACCGCAUAACGUCGCAAGACCAAAGAGGGGGACCUUCGGGCCUCUUGCCAUCAGAUGUGCCCAGAUGGGAUUAGCUUGUUGGUGAGGUAACGGCUCACCAAGGCGACGAUCCCUAGCUGGUCUGAGAGGAUGACCAGCCACACUGGAACUGAGACACGGUCCAGACUCCUACGGGAGGCAGCAGUGGGGAAUAUUGCACAAUGGGCGCAAGCCUGAUGCAGCCAUGCCGCGUGUAUGAAGAAGGCCUUCGGGUUGUAAAGUACUUUCAGCGGGGAGGAAGGUGUUGUGGUUAAUAACCACAGCAAUUGACGUUACCCGCAGAAGAAGCACCGGCUAACUCCGUGCCAGCAGCCGCGGUAAUACGGAGGGUGCAAGCGUUAAUCGGAAUUACUGGGCGUAAAGCGCACGCAGGCGGUCUGUCAAGUCGGAUGUGAAAUCCCCGGGCUCAACCUGGGAACUGCAUUCGAAACUGGCAGGCUUGAGUCUUGUAGAGGGGGGUAGAAUUCCAGGUGUAGCGGUGAAAUGCGUAGAGAUCUGGAGGAAUACCGGUGGCGAAGGCGGCCCCCUGGACAAAGACUGACGCUCAGGUGCGAAAGCGUGGGGAGCAAACAGGAUUAGAUACCCUGGUAGUCCACGCCGUAAACGAUGUCUACUUGGAGGUUGUGCCCUUGAGGCGUGGCUUCCGGAGCUAACGCGUUAAGUAGACCGCCUGGGGAGUACGGCCGCAAGGUUAAAACUCAAAUGAAUUGACGGGGGCCCGCACAAGCGGUGGAGCAUGUGGUUUAAUUCGAUGCAACGCGAAGAACCUUACCUGGUCUUGACAUCCACGGAAGUUUUCAGAGAUGAGAAUGUGCCUUCGGGAACCGUGAGACAGGUGCUGCAUGGCUGUCGUCAGCUCGUGUUGUGAAAUGUUGGGUUAAGUCCCGCAACGAGCGCAACCCUUAUCCUUUGUUGCCAGCGAUUAGGUCGGGAACUCAAAGGAGACUGCCAGUGAUAAACUGGAGGAAGGUGGGGAUGACGUCAAGUCAUCAUGGCCCUUACGACCAGGGCUACACACGUGCUACAAUGGCGCAUACAAAGAGAAGCGACCUCGCGAGAGCAAGCGGACCUCAUAAAGUGCGUCGUAGUCCGGAUUGGAGUCUGCAACUCGACUCCAUGAAGUCGGAAUCGCUAGUAAUCGUGGAUCAGAAUGCCACGGUGAAUACGUUCCCGGGCCUUGUACACACCGCCCGUCACACCAUGGGAGUGGGUUGCAAAAGAAGUAGGUAGCUUAACCUUCGGGAGGGCGCUUACCACUUUGUGAUUCAUGACUGGGGUGAAGUCGUAACAAGGUAACCGUAGGGGAACCUGCGGUUGGA